CGAUAUACUAACGGAUGCGAUCAUACCAGCACUAAUGCACCGGAUCCCAUCAGAACUCCGCAGUUAAGCGUGCUUGGGCGAGAGUAGUACUAGGACGGGUGACCUCCCGGGAAGUCCUCGUGUUGCAUCCC
rnacentral:rRNA from 1 species